CUGGCCCAUCCAUUCUUCUUAUUCGAUCGACAGCAGCACGUCUCCUCCUCUCCUUCUCUUCCUUCCUUCUUCUUUCUUCGUGAUAGACAUGAUUCGCUUCUUCAACCGACGGUAGUGCAUCCCAUGGUCAUGGCGUUGGCUGCCUCCAGUCCCCGCGACGCGUCCUGGAGCGCAUGCAGAGCUAGUCGCCGCCUCCCACAGGAGAGUGCCCGAGCUCGCCUAGCCCCACUUCACGGAAAACCUCGACCUCGUCCUCUCCCUCUAGGGCAAGGAGCUCUCACUCCAGAGCUCAUUCUCUUGUUGCCCCUCCUUCCCUCUUUGAUUCGAUCCAAUUCCAUUAUGUUCCUCUGAUUCUGAUUUGGAUUUGGAUUUGGAUUUGCUCUAAAAGAUUAGCUGGUGGGUGUUCCAUGUGGUCCACGGCAAACCUGCGAAGAUGGAGAUGCUCAUGACCAUGUCCGGUGCUAGCGGCUCCUCUGCUUCGCUUCCUUCAUUCUUUCUUCUUUGCCACAACCCCGAUUUGCUUCGAUUGGAACCCUAAUCCAAGACGAGGUAAUGGAUCGGGUGGAGCAGGUUCAUUUCGAGGAUCCGCUCUAGAGACAAAGUUUCUAAAGAAUCUUUAUGGUCGUCGAUGGUUCGUCUUACACACUCUUCAUACCAACUAUGUGAGGGGCACUGAUGAAGCCUUCUAUGCAGCCUCAUGUGAGCUCCCAAUUUUGUUCUUCAAUGGCCGGAGGUGACCACACAACACCAAGUGGAUCAGCCACAAGGAAGGAGUUUCAGUGAAACUUGUGCACAUAAACAUACUAGCGCAAACCUGGCACAUGAGAGCCAGCCACUAAGAGCAACAGCCACACUUAGGUUCAAAGGAUUCCUACCUAGAGUUAAUAGUCUUUUUCAAGAUUGUCAGAACACUUAUGAUUUCUAUGUUUCCUUGAUGGGAAUCGAUUACCUCCUCCUGGACCUGUUUUGGCAAAUAUAGAAUAUACGGUAUAUUUGCUCGUAAGGGCAAAUAUGCAAUCAA